UCCCUGGUGGCUCAGACGGUAAAGAAUCUGCCUGCAAUGCAGGAGACCCAGGUUCGAUCCCUGGGUUGGGAA
rnacentral:tRNA from 1 species